UUCCAACCACUAGACUAUGGUCCGUGCCUUGUUUGAUCAAAACAACUGACCAUAGAACAUUUGUUUUGUUUUUCAGCUACUCACGUUGCCAUCCUCUUUGGCUUAUAUAAAGCUUCCAUGAGUUCUACUGAACUCUACAACUCAUCUCUCGAGUCCUGAAGUCUCCGAUAUGGUUCGCUUCCUCCUGUUAUUGCUGGUUGGGGCUCAAGCUCUUGUCACGCUAGCAAUGGCCAGGCCUCUUCCCUCCAUUCCAACCAUUGCAGCCCCACCCUCUUCAAGUGCUCCCACGAACAUUGGAGCAUCAGGAAUUGCCGGCGGACCGGAGCCGCAGCAAAUGAGGAAGAGCGGAUUGUUUGAAGGAUCGAUAGGAGGAGAUGUGAUACUUGGAGGCUUUGUAACUGCCGUCCUUGCCGUCAUCUUUUGCUACAUUCGAGUUACGAGGAGAAAUGGCGAAAAUAAAGCAUAGAUUUUGUUAGUCCUAGCCCGUUUUCUUUUGCAUCUUCUUAUUAGUUACUCCGGGAGAAAGAUCUCUAAAAUGGUCUUGUAAACAUACCACAGAGAAAUAUACUUAAAUCUCGUUGCUUAUCUACACGGAUCCUUGCCCUGUUUUUCCUAUCUUAAUGAUAUUUUGAUCUCUGUCUUGCUGAGAUGUAUGAUGGCUUCC
rnacentral:lncRNA from 1 species